GGUCCCGCCUGCCCAGUGACUCUUUAAACGGCCGCGGUAUCCUAACCGCGCAAAAGUAGCAUAAUCACUUGUCCCUUAAAUCGGGACUGGAAUGAACGGCUAAAUGAGGACUAAACUGUCUCUUACAGGCCAGCCAAUGAAAUUGAUUUUCCAGUACAAAAGCUGGGAUAAACCCACAAGACGAGAAGACCCUGUGGAGCUUACAAACCAAAUUCACCAAGUAUGUCUACCGGUUUUCAGUUGGGGCGACUUCGGAGUACAAAAUAACCUCCAAACAUAAAACUAAUUAAGAACAACAUAUCAAAAUAUACUCAUAAUGACCCAGCAACCUUACGGUUGUCUGAUUAAUGAACCAAGUUACCCCAGGGAUAACAGCGCCAUCCCCUUCUAGAGUCCCUAUCGACAAGGGGGUUUACGACCUCGAUGUUGGAUCAGGACACCCCAAUGGUGCAGCCGCCAUUAACG
rnacentral:rRNA from 1 species